CGCCCCCAGGUCAACAGCCACCCCCACCACAGCCUGCCAAACCUCAGCAAGUCAUCCAGCAUCAUCCUUCACCCCGGCACCACAAGUCAGAUCCCUACUCAGCAGGUCACCUCCGUGAAGCCCCCUCCCCGCUUAUGAUACAUUCCCCCCAGAUGCCACAGUUCCAGAGCCUGACCCACCAGUCUCCACCCCAGCAAAAUGUCCAGCCUAAGAAGCAGGAGCUACGCCCACCCUCGGUGGUCCAGCCCCAGCCCCUGGUGGUGGUAAAAGAGGAGAAGAUCCACUCACCCAUCAUCCGCAGUGAGCCCUUCAGCCCCUCGCUAAGGCCGGAGCCCCCCAAGCAUGCUGAGAGCAUCAAGGCCCCAGUCCACCUGCCCCAGCGGCCUGAGAUGAAGCCUGUGGAUGUCGGGAGGCCUGUCAUUCGGCCCCCUGAGCAGAAUGCACCCCCGCCAGGGGCCCCUGACAAGGACAAACAGAAACAGGAGCCGAAGACGCCAGUGGCACCCAAAAAGGACCUAAAAAUCAAGAACAUGGGCUCCUGGGCCAGCCUGGUACAGAAGCAUCCGACCACCCCGUCCUCCACAGCCAAGUCAUCCAGUGACAGCUUUGAGCAGUUCCGCCGUGCAGCUCGGGAGAAGGAGGAGCGAGAAAAGGCCUUGAAGGCUCAGGCCGAGCACGCAGAGAANNNNNNNNNNNNNNNNNNNNNNNNNNNNNNNNNNNNNNNNNNNNNNNNNNNNNNNNNNNNNNNNNNNNNNNNNNNNNNNNNNNNNNNNNNNNNNNNNNNNNNNNNNNNNNNNNNNNNNNNNNNNNNNNNNNNNNNNNNNNNNNNNNNNNNNNNNNNNNNNNNNNNNNNNNNNNNNNNNNNNNNNNNNNNNNNNNNNNNNNNNNNNNNNGCUGUGGCCGCAGCUGCUGUCCCCCAGGCCCAGAGCUCCCAGCCCCAGUCCAUGCUAGACCAGCAGAGGGAGUUGGCCCGGAAGCGGGAGCAGGAGCGAAGGCGCCGGGAGGCCAUGGCAGCUACGAUUGACAUGAAUUUCCAGAGUGAUCUGUUGUCAAUAUUUGAAGAAAAUCUUUUCUGAGAGCACCUAGGUGACUUCUGACUUUGAUUUUCUGGCAAAACAUUGACUCUCCAUAGUGUUAGGGGUGGCAGUGGAGGCGGUAGCAGUGGCCAGGGGUGUCUCUGGGCCUGGUCCUCCUGCAUGCUAUGCCCGGGGCAGGCCUGAUGGGCAGCUGAGGAUCGCAGAGCCCCCAUCUGCCUUACAGCCAGCUGGACGGACGUCCCGCCACCUGCCACCUCCUCACAGGACGUCGGCUCAGAGCACGCCUCGAUUCCAGCAAGUGCCGGCUGGACCCAAGGCCUGCGUCCCCGUGUGGGGAAGUGGCCCUUUUCUCCGCCAAACGUCUACACAGUAUACACAGGACAUUGUUGCUGCCGCCACCGUGACUGGUUUUCUGUCCCUGAGAACGUGACGUUUGUGACGUCUGCCCAUUGGGAGUCCUCCACACCCCAGCCAUCGCCACUCGCUCCCAGGAGGCCAGGGCAGGCCCCCAUGGACUGGAGCAGGCGAGGGCACUGGCAUACCCCGUUGCUGGCACUGACUUUGCCUUGAACAGAUCCCCUUCUCUCCUCCCCACAAGCCUUUAAUCGAGAGCCGCUCUCUAUAAGUGUUCGCUUGUGCAAAAGGGAAUAGUGCCGUGGAGGUGUGUGUGUCCAUGGCAACUCGAAUAGAGGUGACCGUCCCACGUAUGUGGGCGGGCCUUGCCCGGGGUGAGGCCACCAACCAAAGUCAGUCCCUUCCCACCUGUGUUUUUUUGUUUUGUUUUGUUUUUCUAUAUAUAUAUUUUUUUUGAAUUCUAUUUUAUUUUUAAUUUUCUCUUCUCCUCCAGACACAAUGGCACUGCUUAUUUCCGAAAUGGUGUGAUCGUCUCCUCAUUGAGCGGCGGCUCCCACCGCGCUGUGGGUAGUGUGUGACCGUGGCUGUACUGUAUAGUGAACAUAGUUGGCAUAUCUUUGUUUGAAGUUUGUGGGUGACUCCACCAAACUGGUGUAAAAGAAAUUUUUUUUUUCAAAAAAAUCCACAAAAAAAAAUCAAAACAGAAAAAUCUCAACCUAUAUUUUACUCUCAUUUCAAACUUUUAUUAGUCUUUUUAAUUAUAAACCCAGAAAGCUAUAAUUUCUUUUCCUUUCCCUCAGUGCCCAUUUGUUGGCUUUUCUUUGUUUUUUAAUGUCAAGUCUUUUAGUUUUUUACCAAUAAAAGGAAGGGCCUGGGGACAGGUAGGCCCCAGUAUGAUUGGGGGUGCCACAAACUGAGGCAGAGGCUCCCCCACCCAGCACCCAGUCCCAACCAGCUGGCUGCUCCCUCCCACACUUUUUUUUUUUUCUCAUAAUUUUUCCUUUCUCUUCUUUCCUUUGUGCCAUGAGAACCCACUCUACACCACAACGCUGGUGCCUCAGUGUUGGCCAAACUCUGGAGUCACUGACUGGUUUGACUUUCAUACGGUGAAUAUGCAUUUGGUCUGUACUGAUCAUGGAAUAAACACAUCUCUCUUUUUUAAUGCUGGCGUCUCCCUGACAUUUCUUUGUGAACCAACUGUUGGCCUAGGGUAGGCCCAGGCUCCCCUGCCCCCCAGGCCACCUGUGCAUGAGAACUAAGGACUCUAGCCACAGAGCCUCUUUCAUGUGGCUUAUCCCUACCUUUCCUGGGCAGGAGGUGCUCAGGCUCACAGCUGCCACCCAAGCUGAAGCUGACAGGGAGCCCAGAAGCCCAUUCUUCAUGUGGACCCUGGCCUAGGUAGGUGACCUGUCCUAGAAGAACCCUGGCCAAACUCCAGACUCUAUUCGUCCCAUUUUCCCUCCUUCAUCUUGGUCCAUUCAUGCAUCAAAGGAUUUGGGCCACUUCCACCUCGGUUGCCUCCGCCUCUUUUUCAUUCAAGCUCAGGGUUAACCGGAUAUUCAUAGGUAAAUGUACAUUCCCCUAAAUAGGAUCUUCAUUCGAACACAUGUACAUUUUCACCCAAGCCCACCCACAGGUAGCUUCUCUGCUUGUAUCCACCUGUAAGUACAUGCCCCACCCACAAGCACAGGUGGCACCUACAACAGCCCCUGGGAUGUAAGGUAAAGUACAUAACUUACAUGUAUCCAGAGACAAACAUUGAAAUAUUUCUAGCACUGUUUACUAACAUCCCCCCUGUUCAAUCAGAAAGGCCCUUUUAUUACCCUAUGUUUAAGAUCUGCCAAACCUCAAAGGGUAGAAUAAGGCAUUCAGCCAGUGCCUUCCCACUACCACCACCACACAUUUCCUCCAUGUCCUUGACCAUCUCAGGCACUUCAUGCACCACCGUGCCAGUUCAAAUGUGACAUUUUGGUUCUGUGGGGUUUCUUCCAUUUCAUCCCACCCUCUGUUUUUGUUCAGAAACUUCCCCAGGCUGGGUCCAACUGUUGAGCUGGAGAGAUGGUUUCAUCUGCACCUUCCUGCUAAAGAUUUCAUUCUGCCAUGGCCUUCACACCUCCCUGAUGGGUGUUUCUCAAACUGGGUUGUAAUUAGAACUGGGAUUUAUUUAAUUUUUCUGGCCAUUUAUCCAGCCCCUCCUACAGUACUAGAAAUCUUAGUCCUAUACAAGAGUAAGAGGUGUGUACAAGCCCCCACUGUACUGUAUGCACGGAUCGCUUGGCCAAUAAUUAUGUCAGUGAAUCUGAGACUUGUAUUAAAACACUAGACAUUUGUAGAAAGGAAUUCGUAGACUUUUCACUUAUAUACUAAAAGUUCUUUUUUUGUGCAGUUCUCAUUGCAAAAAUAAACAUUUGUACUGAACAUAAAGUUACCCUCCUGUGAGUACUGCUGUCUUUUUGAGGGUAGAGUUGGGAGGAGGUGGUGGGGUGAGGACUGGUUAGGGGUGUGUUCUAGAGUUAGAAGACACCCACCAACCGUGCAGCCUGAAGAGGACUGUGGAAAGGUUCUAGCAAUGUCAAGUUGUCAGAUAAAUGGACAUGAAGUGUAAAGGAGACCAAAGUUAGGACACAGGCUAAUAACAAAGAUGAGUGGUUAAAUCUAGGGAGAGCAAAAAGGUAGUUCAAUAUAGGCAAUGUACUCCAACUUUGAGAUCCAUUGUUCACUGAGGCAGAACAAUAUGAAUGGGCAUUCACCUUUACCUAGCAACCCAUGGGGUUAAUUAUGGUUAGUACCCAGAUAAUACAAAGCUAUAUAGAUGACAGGAAGAAGGGACGGUGGGUGAUGUGAAAAUGGGGUCUUAGAGGAAACCAAUAGAAAAACUAAAAUGGAAACGCAUGUUCAGUGGUGGUAAUGUCAGCAAGUCAAUAGAUGAUGUUCCAAAUUAAACAAGAAAUAGGCACAUAACACACAUUGGGAUACCUAGUUAUCAACCAGAAGCGAUUAGGGGAUGGGUUUUUAUCAGUCUUCCUGGAUUGCUCUUUAGCCAGAAGUGACUUCACAGACACGUGACUUCAUCCACAAAUUUCAGGUUCUUGUAAUGCAAGAAUGUGACCAACACUGCCUACAGUGGUUGUCCCCAAAAUAGACACGGAUCCCUGAAGGUUGCAAAAUACAGGACACUGGCUCCCUGCAUGAAUGGGAUUCUAAUCCGGUGCCCCGUCAUGCUCUACUCUGCCCAACCCAGCCUUGACUCCUUUUUGUCAGAGGCAGUGACUCAAUUUACCGAGUCUUCUUCCAGGAAGCAUCAAAGCCGGACUUACCCUCCAGGAAUCAGGAGCUCCUCUUAGCCACCAUCGGCAAGCCCGGACCAACCACAACACCUGCCAGUUGGCACCGGGACCAAGACGUGUCGCUAGGACAUCAAUGGCUGCCGAUGUCCAAUCACAGCUGUGUAAGGAUGGGCCGUCGGACCCGCUGGGCCAGCAGGAGGACUGCGUGGGACCUCGGCCUCUGGACCCGCUGUUGGAAUCAGAGCUGGAUAAAGGUGCUACUGGGUCAGCCAGAUCAGGGAGGGUCGCGCACUCCAGGGAAGGAAGCAGUCGAGGGGGAGGGCGGUUGGCUGGGGCUCCUGAGUCCCUCUCGGGCCGCUGUGACUGACCACACCUCCCUGCCAGUCCCAGCCAUAGCACUGCUGGUCUCUCUUCCGCUUUCCGGCCAGUCCGACCCGCCGUAUUGUUUGGCU
rnacentral:lncRNA from 1 species